rnacentral:rRNA from 1 species
CGGCGUCGAGCGGCGGACGGGUGAGUAAUGCCUAGGAAAUUGCCCUGAUGUGGGGGAUAACCAUUGGAAACGAUGGCUAAUACCGCAUAAUGCCUACGGGCCAAAGAGGGGGACCUUCGGGCCUCUCGCGUCAGGAUAUGCCUAGGUGGGAUUAGCUAGUUGGUGAGGUAAUGGCUCACCAAGGCGACGAUCCCUAGCUGGUCUGAGAGGAUGAUCAGCCACACUGGAACUGAGACACGGUCCAAACUCAUACGGGAGGCAGCAGUGGGGAAUAUUGCACAAUGGGCGCAAGCCUGAUGCAGCCAUGCCGCGUGUGUGAAGAAGGCCUUCGGGUUGUAAAGCACUUUCAGUCGUGAGGAAGGUGGUGUAGUUAAUAGCUGCAUUAUUUGACGUUAGCGACAGAAGAAGCACCGGCUAACUCCGUGCCAGCAGCCGCGGUAAUACGGAGGGUGCGAGCGUUAAUCGGAAUUACUGGGCGUAAAGCGCAUGCAGGUGGUUUGUUAAGUCAGAUGUGAAAGCCCGGGGCUCAACCUCGGAAUAGCAUUUGAAACUGGCAGACUAGAGUACUGUAGAGGGGGGUAGAAUUUCAGGUGUAGCGGUGAAAUGCGUAGAGAUCUGAAGGAAUACCGGUGGCGAAGGCGGCCCCCUGGACAGAUACUGACACUCAGAUGCGAAAGCGUGGGGAGCAAACAGGAUUAGAUACCCUGGUAGUCCACGCCGUAAACGAUGUCUACUUGGAGGUUGUGGCCUUGAGCCGUGGCUUUCGGAGCUAACGCGUUAAGUAGACCGCCUGGGGAGUACGGUCGCAAGAUUAAAACUCAAAUGAAUUGACGGGGGCCCGCACAAGCGGUGGAGCAUGUGGUUUAAUUCGAUGCAACGCGAAGAACCUUACCUACUCUUGACAUCCAGAGAACUUUCCAGAGAUGGAUUGGUGCCUUCGGGAACUCUGAGACAGGUGCUGCAUGGCUGUCGUCAGCUCGUGUUGUGAAAUGUUGGGUUAAGUCCCGCAACGAGCGCAACCCUUAUCCUUGUUUGCCAGCGAGUAAUGUCGGGAACUCCAGGGAGACUGCCGGUGAUAAACCGGAGGAAGGUGGGGACGACGUCAAGUCAUCAUGGCCCUUACGAGUAGGGCUACACACGUGCUACAAUGGCGCAUACAGAGGGCAGCAAGCUAGCGAUAGUGAGCGAAUCCCAAAAAGUGCGUCGUAGUCCGGAUUGGAGUCUGCAACUCGACUUCCAUGAAGUCGGAAUCGCUAGUAAUCGUGGAUCAGAAUGCCACGGUGAAUACGUUCCCGGGCCUUGUACACACCGCCCGUCACACCAUGGGAGUGGGCUGCAAAAGAAGUAGGUAGUUA